UAACGCGUGGGAAUAUGCCCUGGAGUGGGGGAUAACCGAGGGAAACCUCGGCUAAUACCGCAUACGGCCUGAGGGCGAAAGAUUUAUCGCUCUAGGAGGGGCCCGCGUCGGAUUAGCUUGUUGGCGGGGUAACGCCCCACCAAGGCUAUGAUCUGUAGCUGGUCUGAGAGGAUGAUCAGCCACACUGGGACUGAGACACGGUCCAGACUCCUACGGGAGGCAGCAGUGGGGAAUAUCGGUCAAUGGGCGCAAGCCUGAUCCAGCAAUGCCGCGUGAGUGAUGAAGGCCUUAGGGUUGU
rnacentral:rRNA from 1 species